rnacentral:rRNA from 1 species
CCAAGGCUAAAUACGUCUGGCGACCGAUAGUGGAUCAGUACCGAGAGGGAAAGGUGAAAAGCACCCCUGGCGGGGAGUGAAAUAGACCUGAAACCGCGUGCUUACAAGCAGUCGGAGCAUUUUUUAUAGAUGUGACGGCGUGCCUCUUGGAAAAUGAGCCGUCGAGUUACGGUGUGUGGCGAGGAUAAGGACUUCCAGGUCUGUAUCCGCAGGGAAACCGAGUCUUAAUAGGGCGCCAGUCGCAUGCUGUAGACCCGAAGCCAUACGAUCUAUCCAUGUCCAGGUUGAAGACCGGGUAACACCGGUUGGAGGACCGCACCGCAGCCUGUUGAAAAAGGCCCGGAUGAGAUGUGGAUAGGAGUGAAAAGCUAAUCGAGUAUGGUGAUAGCUGGUUCUCCCCGAAAUGCAUUUAGGUGCAGCCUUUUCGCAUCAGGUAUAUGGGGGGUAGAGCACUGACUGAGUAAGGGGGCAGAUGUGUCUACCGAGCUCACUCAAACUCCGAAUACCCAUAGUACCGUCGAAGAGAGUGAGACUACGGGUGCGAAGAUCCGUGGUCGAAAGGGAAACAGCCCAGCCCGACAGCUAAGGUCCCAAAGCCUGUGCUAAGUGUUACAAGGAUGUGGGGAAGCAAAGACAGCCAGGAGGUUGGCUCAGAAGCAGCCACCCUUGAAAGAGUGCGUAACAGCUCACUGGUCGAGCGUCCCUGCGCCAAAAAUGUGGGGGGCUAAGCACAGCGCCGAAGCUUCGGAUUUAGUGGAAAUAUCCAUUAACUGGUAGGGGAGCGUUCCAUAUGGGACGAAGCAGGAUUGUAAGGUUCUGUGGACUUUAUGGAAGUGAGAAUGACGGCAUGAGUAGCGAAAAGUGUGCGAGAAACACACUCACCGAAAACCCAAGGAUUCCUGGGGAAGGCUCAUCCACCCAGGGUUAGGCGGGACCUAAGGCGAGGCCGAAAGGCGUAGUCGAUGGACAACAGGUAGACAAUCCUGUCCUUCGGACGAUCGUUUGACUGAUGGAGUGACGCAGAAAGCUAUGUGCGCCGGGUGAUGGAAAUCCCGGUCUAAGGAAGUAGGCUGGUGUGGGAGGCAAAUCCCCCGCACCGUUAAGGCCGAGAUCUGAUGGGGUAGUGAAUAAUCACGAGAAGGCACAAAUGCUCAGCUGCCGAGAAAAGCUUCUAGGGAGAGAGUUCGAACCCGUACUGAAAACCGACACAGGUGGGUUGGCUUAGAAGGCUAAGGUGAACGGGAUAACCCUUGUUAAGGAACUCUGCAAGUUGACUCCGUAACUUCGGGAGAAGGAGUGGCUGGAGAUGUCAAUACUAUACGUAAGAAGCAUCUUUGGUUCGCAGAAACCAGGCUCAGGCGACUGUUUAACUAAAACACAGGACUCUGCUUAAGGCGCAAGCCGAAGUAUAGGGUCUGACACCUGCCCGGUGCUGGAAGGUUAAAGGGAGAGGUUAGUCGCAAGGCGAAGCUUUGAACUGAAGCCCCAGUAAACGGCGGCCGUAACUAUAACGGUCCUAAGGUAGCGAAAUUCCUUGUCGGGUAAGUUCCGACCUGCACGAAAGGUGUAACGAUCUGAGCGCUGUCUCAACAGGGGGCCCGGUGAAAUUGUGGUACUGGUAAAGACGCCAGUUACCCGCAGUAGGACGGAAAGACCCCGUGGAGCUUUACUGUAACUUGAUAUUGGAUUUCGGUACACUCUGUAUAGGAUAGGUGGGAGACAGUGAAGGAUGUGCGCCAGCGCAUUUGGAGUCGCCCUUGGAAUACCACCCUUGGUGUGC